rnacentral:lncRNA from 10 species
UGGACCACUGGGCUGGGACCCACGACCCCACCACCACGCCUGGAGGACGCGCAGCGGCGCCUCGGCCUUGGAAGGGGAGUUUCCCAGCGCGAGCCCCGCCCUUCCCCGCCCGGGAGGCGCCUCGGGGCGGGGUCACUGGCCGGGAGGCCCCGCCUUCCGCCCGAAAGCGCCGGUGCACCCCGCAGGCCCUGCCCGUGGGUCCACAGGCCGGAUCCCCGGGUUCCUAGGCUGGGACUGCUUCUCAGAACCACUCUGUCGUUUUUAAGCAGGGUCACACACUCUAGCUCACUGGGUCCAUUUUAAUUUCUAUUAAACAUUUUUUUUUUUUUGCAAAUGAUGUAGUAGGAGAUCCAAGGUGUUUGGUUAAUGAUUUAUUCACUCAUUAGUCAUUCCACAAACUUGUCUUGAGCACCUGUUAUGUACCCAGCACUGUGCUGGAAUGCUGAGGAGACAGGAGUGAAGUAAAAAGACAUGGUUCCGGCAGGAAACAGGCAAGGAGAGCCUUGACUUGACGGAGUCUGGCUAUAUCGCCAGGCUGGAAUGCAAUGGCGCGAUCUCUCCUCACUGCAACCUCCGCCUCCCGGGUUCAAGCGAUUCUCCUGCCUCAGCACCUCGAGUAGCUGGGACUACAGGCGCGCGCCACCACGCCCAGUAAGAGGAAAUAACUCUACAUUCAAAUUUGAGCAGGGCACUUGGUGACCUACUUAGACAUGACAUUCCUUGGCCUCCCUUUCAGCAAGAUGAGAAAACUGAGGCACAGAGAGGUGAAAUAAGGAAUGAAAUAUUACUGGAUGAAAUAAUUAUACUGAUCCUAGCCUUAUUUUAAAAGGGCCCCCAGAAUGCUCUUCUCCAAGACUUAGAAAAAUCAAAUGCUAUCCAUCCCUCAAGAUACAUCCCUCCAGCCCCUCCUUGAAGUCUCCUGCAGCUAGAAGUAGAAGUAGCAUCUAUCCCCAUCUGGACUCCUUAGCACUUUGCUGUACCUGCCUUAGUCCCCAUCUCUUUACACACACACACACACACACACACACACACACAGAGUAUUAUAAUACUAUUACCUAUUAUAUUACAUUAUAUUAUUGUAGUUCUACAGGAACUACAAGGAAUUCUACUGUGAAUUCCUUAAGGGUGGGAUACAUUUUACAAUCAUCACUGUUUCUCUCAUUAGUUGUGGAAUCAAAAAAAUGAGUGCACGAUGAAAAAUUAUUCAAACACAUACAUGCUUUCAUUCCAAUUGAAAAUGUAAAAAUAUUACUGUUAAAACAAUAUUAAAGGACAUGUAAUACAAUUCAAAUAUUCCUACCAUGCACGAUUGUUUUCACUUCUUUGUGCCUCUUUCACCAUUUAUUUGUGUGCAUACUCAGCAUAUUUGUUUGUGUAACAGGAUGUUAAAAAUAGAAUUUGUUGCCUGUAGUUUUUGCUAAAGCUCUACUAGACUGGAACAGAACAAUAGGUGGUAAAUACUCCAUUCCUCAGUGAGAUGCUACCUACCUAUGCAGAGCUGGAAAAGAUUUUGCAACCUGAAAACCCAAUCCUUUCUGAGAUAUAAAAGAACAGAAGAGUCUGGAAGUGAUUUCUUCGGAGAAAUUCAUUUUCUUAUUCCAGAGAAGAAACUUCAAGCUCAGAAUAUUGGCUACUACCUGUGAUAAACAUUUAAAUUAUUGGAACGAGAGAGUUUUUAUAACUAAAUUUGAAAGAAGCAAUUUUUUUUAUCAAAGACCAACCCGAAGAUUCAUGACCACUACCUGUGAUUUCAUCCAUGUUGCAAGGAAAAUCCUGCCCCACUUCCCCAAUAGGAAGAGUGGUGGGGGAAUAAUAAAGUUGUUUUAUGAUGCAUCCUGUGGACUUCUACUCGACAGAAUGGUAACAUUCAACUGUAAUCAGGAUGAGCAAGCCACUUUAUUAAACUAAAAUUUUAAACUUUAAUAAAUAUAAUACAAACUGAAAAAUAAAAAUAAUUUUUCAACUCUACACAAGUAUGUUAACUGCAUAAACAGUGAGAUGUUACACAGGGCUGAGGCCUAUACUUCUUCAGUUUGUACAUUAAACGUCUCCAUGGAGGGUCAAUUGCAUCCUACCUAUUCUGACAGUUAUCAGGUAGCGAGAGAUUUGAGGAAGAGGCGCUUUUCUAAUCUGGGGUAGGAAAAGGAAUGAUACCAUGUAUCAUGAGAAGUAUUUGCACAUAGUGUGUCAAUUAAGCAAGUGCUCAGACUAUUAACAACAUUACUAUGUGAUGAAUGUUUAUACAGUGGAUUCAAAAAUAAGCUUCUUUCCAGAAAGCAGCUUAGUUUUCAUUAAUUAUUACCAGCAUCUUGGUAAUUAUUUAUUUAAUGGUUUAAAAGUUAAAGUUUCAAUCUAUAUUUGUUUUUUUAACAUCAGCCAAGGAAAUACAUGUCUGUUAUACUGCAUCUUUGGAAGUAUGCAAUAAGUGUAACUAUUGAAUCUAUAUUGAAGAGCCACAAGACACUGAAUUUAAUUGGACGAGACUAUUUUAUUUAGGAAGACAAUCAUCUCCUGUGAUCAGCUUAAGGUUUUUGUUUUGUUUUAUCUGGAACAAGCUAAGUUCAUAUUUAGAAAAUAAAGUUAGUUUUUUGGGUGCAUGAGUUUUAGAGUAAAUUAGUAAUUUAGUAAACUUUGACAUUUCCACUUUGUCUCCAAACACAUUUAAAUUCUAUCUGUCUGACUGAAGUUCUAAGGCAUUCUGUGGUUACUUAGAAAUGAUUCCUUAUAUUAAUGUUUACAAAUGCUAAAUUGUAUUUGUUAAAUACAUGUCUUAUUGCCUAAGAGUUUUCCUUUCUUAUAAGUUUAAUAUAAAUGUCUAGGAAAUAAGACUCCCAUUUAAUAGCUUAUAAAGAAUGCUGAUGUAUCAGCAGUGGCCUUGACAUUAUUGGAUACAAGUAAGAUCUACACUGAUGAUUAAAUCAAAUUGGCUAAGAUUAUUCGUUCUAAUAAAAGCACUGACUCCAUGAAGUUUUCUUGUGGCUGAAAUUAACAUUCGUGUUCCUACAAGCUCUUUAAAAUCUUAGUUACUGAAAAUUAUUCCUUUUGACCUAAUUUUUUCUUUACUUUGGAUGUAUUUGACAAGGUAGAGGUUAGGGAUUGGAGAGUAUGUAAAGAAUGAAAUAAAAUGUAGUCACUUUUAACUAUAUCCACAUA